rnacentral:rRNA from 1 species
CUGGGCGUUAAGUUGCAGGGUAUAGACCCGAAACCCGGUGAUCUAGCCAUGGGCAGGUUGAAGGUUGGGUAACACUAACUGGAGGACCGAACCGACUAAUGUUGAAAAAUUAGCGGAUGACUUGUGGCUGGGGGUGAAAGGCCAAUCAAACCGGGAGAUAGCUGGUUCUCCCCGAAAGCUAUUUAGGUAGCGCCUCGUGAAUUCAUCUCCGGGGGUAGAGCACUGUUUCGGCAAGGGGGUCAUCCCGACUUACCAACCCGAUGCAAACUGCGAAUACCGGAGAAUGUUAUCACGGGAGACACACGGCGGGUGCUAACGUCCGUCGUGAAGAGGGAAACAACCCAGACCGCCAGCUAAGGUCCCAAAGUCAUGGUUAAGUGGGAAACGAUGUGGGAAGGCCCAGACAGCCAGGAUGUUGGCUUAGAAGCAGCCAUCAUUUAAAGAAAGCGUAAUAGCUCACUGGUCGAGUCGGCCUGCGCGGAAGAUGUAACGGGGCUAAACCAUGCACCGAAGCUGCGGCAGCGACGCUGAUGCGUUGUUGGGUAGGGGAGCGUUCUGUAAGCCUGUGAAGGUGUGCUGUGAGGCAUGCUGGAGGUAUCAGAAGUGCGAAUGCUGACAUAAGUAACGAUAAAGCGGGUGAAAAGCCCGCUCGCCGGAAGACCAAGGGUUCCUGUCCAACGUUAAUCGGGGCAGGGUGAGUCGACCCCUAAGGCGAGGCCGAAAGGCGUAGUCGAUGGGAAACAGGUUAAUAUUCCUGUACUUGGUGUUACUGCGAAGGGGGGACGGAGAAGGCUAUGUUGGCCGGGCGACGGUUGUCCCGGUUUAAGCGUGUAGGCUGGUUUUCCAGGCAAAUCCGGAAAACUAAGGCUGAGGCGUGAUGACGAGGCACUACGGUGCUGAAGCAACAAAUGCCCUGCUUCCAGGAAAAGCCUCUAAGCAUCAGGUAACAUCAAAUCGUACCCCAAACCGACACAGGUGGUCAGGUAGAGAAUACCAAGGCGCUUGAGAGAACUCGGGUGAAGGAACUAGGCAAAAUGGUGCCGUAACUUCGGGAGAAGGCACGCUGAUAUGUAGGUGAAGUCCCUCGCGGAUGGAGCUGAAAUCAGUCGAAGAUACCAGCUGGCUGCAACUGUUUAUUAAAAACACAGCACUGUGCAAACACGAAAGUGGACGUAUACGGUGUGACGCCUGCCCGGUGCCGGAAGGUUAAUUGAUGGGGUUAGCGCAAGCGAAGCUCUUGAUCGAAGCCCCGGUAAACGGCGGCCGUAACUAUAACGGUCCUAAGGUAGCGAAAUUCCUUGUCGGGUAAGUUCCGACCUGCACGAAUGGCGUAAUGAUGGCCAGGCUGUCUCCACCCGAGACUCAGUGAAAUUGAACUCGCUGUGAAGAUGCAGUGUACCCGCGGCAAGACGGAAAGACCCCGUGAACCUUUACUAUAGCUUGACACUGAACAUUGAGCCUUGAUGUGUAGGAUAGGUGGGAGGCUUUGAAGUGUGGACGCCAGUCUGCAUGGAGCCGACCUUGAAAUACCACCCUUUAAUGUUUGAUGUUCUAACGUUGACCCGUAAUCCGGGUUGCGGACAGUGUCUGGUGGGUAGUUUGACUGGGGCGGUCUCCUCCUAAAGAGUAACGGAGGAGCACGAAGGUUGGCUAAUCCUGGUCGGACAUCAGGAGGUUAGUGCAAUGGCAUAAGCCAGCUUGACUGCGAGCGUGACGGCGCGAGCAGGUGCGAAAGCAGGUCAUAGUGAUCCGGUGGUUCUGAAUGGAAGGGCCAUCGCUCAACGGAUAAAAGGUACUCCGGGGAUAACAGGCUGAUACCGCCCAAGAGUUCAUAUCGACGGCGGUGUUUGGCACCUCGAUGUCGGCUCAUCACAUCCUGGGGCUGAAGUAGGUCCCAAGGGUAUGGCUGUUCGCCAUUUAAAGUGGUACGCGAGCUGGGUUUAGAACGUCGUGAGACAGUUCGGUCCCUAUCUGCCGUGGGCGCUGGAGAACUGAGGGGGGCUGCUCCUAGUACGAGAGGACCGGAGUGGACGCAUCACUGGUGUUCGGGUUGUCAUGCCAAUGGCACUGCCCGGUAGCUAAAUGCGGAAGAGAUAAGUGCUGAAAGCAUCUAAGCACGAAACUUGCCCCGAGAUGAGUUCUCCCUGACUCCUUGAGAGUCCUGAAGGAACGUUGAAGACGACGACGUUGAUAGGCCGGGUGUGUAAGCGCAGCGAUGCGUUGAGCUAACCGGUACUAAUGAACCGUGAG